AUUGAGCGCUGGCGGCAUGCCUUACACAUGCAAGUCGAACGGCAGCACGGGUGCUUGCACCUGGUGGCGAGUGGCGAACGGGUGAGUAAUACAUCGGAACGUACCUUAUCGUGGGGGAUAACGCAGCGAAAGUUGCGCUAAUACCGCAUACGCCCUGAGGGGAAAGCGGGGGACCGUAAGGCCUCGCGCGAUUAGAGCGGCCGAUGUCUGAUUAGCUUGUUGGUGAGGUAAAAGCUCACCAAGGCGAUGAUCAGUAGCUGGUCUGAGAGGACGAUCAGCCACACUGGGACUGAGACACGGCCCAGACCCCGACGGGAGGCAGCAGUGGGGAAUUUUGGACAAUGGGGGCAACCCUGAUCCAGCAAUGCCGCGUGAGUGAAGAAGGCCUUCGGGUUGUAAAGCUCUUUUGUCAGGGAAGAAACAGCAGCUCAAACACAGUCUGAGAAUGACGGUACCUGAAGAAUAAGCACCGGCUAACUACGUGCCAGCCGCCGCUGUAA
rnacentral:rRNA from 1 species